AUUGAACGCUGGCGGCAGGCUUAACACAUGCAAGUCGAGCGGAGAGAGGUAGCUUGCUACUGAUCUUAGCGGCGGACGGGUGAGUAACGCUUAGGAAUCUGCCUAUUAGUGGGGGACAACAUUUCGAAAGGAAUGCUAAUACCGCAUACGUCCUACGAGAGAAAGCAGGGGAUCUUCGGACCUUGCGCUAAUAGAUGAGCCUAAGUCGGAUUAGCUAGUUGGUGGGGUAAAGGCCUACCAAGGCGACGAUCUGUAGCGGGUCAGAGAGGAUGAUCCGCCACACUGGGACUGAGACACGGCCCAGAGUCCUACGGGAGGCAGCAGUGGGGAAUAUUGGACAAUGGGCGCAAGCCUGAUCCAGCCAUGCCGCGUGUGUGAAGAAGGCCUUAUGGUUGUAAAGCACUUUAAGCGGGGAGGAGGCUACUUUAGUUAAUACCUAGAGAUAGUGGACGUUACUCGCAGAAUAAGCACCGGCUAACUCUGUGCCAGCCGCCGCAGUAACAC
rnacentral:rRNA from 1 species